AAACAAAGGUAGCUGUUACUCCUUCAGCAAAAGAAUCCUUUAAAUCUUCACCUAAAACUACCCAUGAGCAGAAGCCUGAUCAUCCUAAUUCACCAAGUAAUGAUUAUGUUGCUUAUGUUUACUGUGCUUAUCUUACCAAGCUGGACAUUUCAACUGAGCUUACUGAUCCAGAGUUGCACAAUCAGUUUAUGAGCUUGUUUAAUAUAGAACAGAGUGCUACUGCUGAUGAAGACACUGCCAUGCUAGUAAAUUUGAAGGAUGGUGCUAGAGCAGUACCAAAAAGUUCUGAUACCUU
rnacentral:misc_RNA from 1 species